rnacentral:misc_RNA from 1 species
CACGUACCGGACGAACGUUAUUCGGAAUUACUGGGCUUAAAGAGUGCGUAGGCGGUCUAUCAGGUGGGGUGUGAAAGCCCACGGCUCAACCGUGGAAUUGCGCUCCAAACCGUUAGGCUUGAGGGAGACAGGGGUGAGCGGAACUGAUGGUGGAGCGGUGAAAUGCGUUGAUAUCAUCAGGAACACCAGUGGCGAAGGCGGCUCACUGGGUCUCUUCUGACGCUGAGGCACGAAAGCUAGGGGAGCGAACGGG